GAACGUUGGCGGCGUGCCUAACACAUGCAAGUCGAGCGGACCAGAAAUGGAGGUAACUUUAUUUCUGGUUAGCGGCGAACGGGUGAGUAACACGUGGGUAACCUGCCCUCAGGAGGAGGAUAACUCGGGGAAACCUGAGCUAAUACUCCAUAAGACCACGAGCUGAAAUGCUUGUGGCAAAAGAAGCAAUUCACCUGAGGAUGGGCCCGCGGCCUAUCAGGUAGUUGGUAGGGUAAUGGCCUACCAAGCCUAUGACGGGUAGCCGAGCUGAGAGGCUGGCCGGCCACACUGGGACUGAGACACGGCCCAGACUCCUACGGGAGGCAGCAGUGGGGAAUAUUGGGCAAUGGGCGAAAGCCUGACCCAGCGACGCCGCGUGGGGGAAGAAGGCCUUCGGGUUGUAAACCCCUUUUGCAGGGGACGACACAGGACGGUACCCUGCGAAUAAGCCACGGCUAACUCUGUGCCAGCAGCCGCGGUAAGACAGAGGUGGCAAGCGUUGCUCGGAUUCACU
rnacentral:rRNA from 1 species